UACGAAGGGGGCUAGCGUUGUUCGGAUUUACUGGGCGUAAAGCGCACGUAGGCGGAUUUUUAAGUCAGGGGUGAAAUCCCGGGGCUCAACCCCGGAACUGCCUUUGAUACUGGAAGUCUUGAGUAUGGUAGAGGUGAGUGGAAUUCCGAGUGUAGAGGUGAAAUUCGUAGAUAUUCGGAGGAACACCAGUGGGCGAAGGCGGCUCACCUGGACC
rnacentral:rRNA from 1 species